rnacentral:rRNA from 1 species
CCUUGAAAUACCACCCUUUAAUGGCUGGUGUUCUAACGUAGACCCGUUACCCGGGUUGCGGACAGUGUCUGGUGGGUAGUUUGACUGGGGCGGUCUCCUCCUAAAGAGUAACGGAGGAGCACGAAGGUUAGCUAAUCCUGGUCGGACAUCAGGAGGUUAGUGCAAAGGCAUAAGCUAGCUUGACUGCGAGCGUGACGGCGCGAGCAGGUGCGAAAGCAGGUCUUAGUGAUCCGGUGGUUCUGAAUGGAAGGGCCAUCGCUCAACGGAUAAAAGGUACUCCGGGGAUAACAGGCUGAUACCGCCCAAGAGUUCAUAUCGACGGCGGUGUUUGGCACCUCGAUGUCGGCUCAUCACAUCCUGGGGCUGAAGUAGGUCCCAAGGGUAUGGCUGUUCGCCAUUUAAAGUGGUACGCGAGCUGGGUUUAGAACGUCGUGAGACAGUUCGGUCCCUAUCUGCCGUGGGCGCUGGAGAAUUGAGGGGGGCUGCUCCUAGUACGAGAGGACCGGAGUGGACGCAUCACUGGUGUUCGGGUUGUCAUGCCAAUGGCACUGCCCGGUAGCUAAAUGCGGAAGAGAUAAGUGCUGAAAGCAUCUAAGCACGAAACUUGCCCCGAGAUGAGUUCUCCCUGACCCUUUAAGGGUCCUGAAGGAACGUUGAAGACGACGACGUUGAUAGGCCGGGUGUGUAAGCGCAGCGAUGCGUUGAGCUAACCGGUACUAA